rnacentral:rRNA from 1 species
UACGUAGGUGGCGAGCGUUGUCCGGAUUUACUGGGCGUAAAGAGCCCGCAGGCGGUCCGUUAAGUUUCAGGUGAAAUCUCCUGGCUCAACUGGGAGGGUGCCUGGAAAACUGGCGGACUUGAGGCAGGGAGAGGGAUGUGGGAAUUCCCGGUGUAGUAGUGAAAUGCGCAGAUAUCAGGAGGAACACCGGUGGCGAAGGCGGAUCUCUGGGCCAUUACUGACGCUGAGGAGCGAAAGCGUGGGGAGCGAACAGG